rnacentral:lncRNA from 1 species
UGUCAACGACUUGAAUGUACGUUGUAAUCCCCUACCGGGGCUUCACGUUGUAACCCCCGUCGGGGACCUACUGGGGACUCAUGAGUACAUACGCAAAUAUCGAACAGUCCUCAAUGCUUCGAUGGGUUUACUUGCCAUCGGCUUGAAAUAACGUCAAGGCUGCUUGACCUUCGUUGAUAGAAAUGUCAACGGAUGAACGUGUUAUUGCCGGGUUGGUGCAGUGUAUCUGGUUGUGAGCGCUGAGAUUGAAG